rnacentral:lncRNA from 1 species
CCAGGUUCUAAGAAGCCCAGAGCGACCUUAUCUGGGCGUAACGCUAGGACCCUGGGUCUGCCCAGGGGGCUGUCAGGACCCCAGUUAAACGGUCAGGAGAGGGACUUGAUCUCACGUCCCACAACUCUGGGCUUUGGAGGCCUCAGGAUCAGCAGCCCCACACUCUGGACACGGAUUCCUGGGGACAAAACGCCCUCCCAGCGGGGCAGGACGCCACAACCGCAAGCCUUUUGUCUCCCGGGGGAAAGAGCGUCUCUGGCCGAGUGCUGGAGGCAAAAAGCAAUACAAUAAACCUAGGCCUCAAACGCCCCCUGCCCGCCCUCUCCUGGAGGAGGGGUCAGUCCUACGUUGGCCCGGGGGUCUGUCUUUAGGCUGGCCCCAGUGUGUCCCCUCCUCCCCUUCCCACCUGUGACCUUUACCCCUCUCUGCGAGUGACAGACCCUCUCUCCCAGC